GUGUAUAAUCGAUUAUCUUUCAGAGUUUAAAAAUACUUUGGCAACGGUCAUUUGCAUAAUCGAUUAUGCUAUAAGGAUAAUCGAUUAUCUUUUAUAUUAUGAAAACUUCGGACUACACUGUCUUAACAUAAUCGAUUAUCAUAAAGUACAUAAUCGAUUAUUUUACAGUCUUGUAAAAUUUGAUAGACAAUGCCUCAACAUAAUCGAUUAUCAUGAUGUGCAUAAUCGAUUAUUUCAUAGCUUUGAAAAAUCUGAUGGACACUACCUCAACAUAAUCGAUUAUCAUAAGGUACAUAACCGAUUAUCUUGUAGCUUUGAGAAAUCUAAUGUACACUGCCUUAACAUAAUCGAUUAUCAUAAGGUACAUAAUCGAUUAUUGUUCAGCUUUGUAAAUCUGGUGUACAUUGUCUUAAC
rnacentral:lncRNA from 1 species